rnacentral:rRNA from 1 species
CUCCCAACCCCUGUGACAUACCUAUACGUUGCCUCGGCGGAUCAGCCCGCGCCCCGUAAAACGGGACGGCCCGCCCGAGGACCCCUAAACUCUGUUUUUAGUGGAACUUCUGAGUAAAACAAACAAAUAAAUCAAAACUUUCAACAACGGAUCUCUUGGUUCUGGCAUCGAUGAAGAACGCAGCAAAAUGCGAUAAGUAAUGUGAAUUGCAGAAUUCAGUGAAUCAUCGAAUCUUUGAACGCACAUUGCGCCCGCCAGUAUUCUGGCGGGCAUGCCUGUUCGAGCGUCAUUUCAACCCUCAAGCUCAGCUUGGUGUUGGGACUCGCGGUAACCCGCGUUCCCCAAAUCGAUUGGCGGUCACGUCGAGCUUCCAUAGCGUAGUAAUCAUACACCUCGUUACUGGUAAUCGUCGCGGCCACGCCGUAAAACCCCAACUUCUGAAUGUUGACCUCGGAUCAGGUAGGAAUACCCG